GACGAACGCUGGCGGCGUGCCUAAUACAUGCAAGUCGAACGCUGAAGGAGGAGCUUUCUCUUCUGGAUGAGUUGCGAACGGGUGAGUAACGCGUAGGUAACCUGCCUGUUAGCGGGGGAUAACUAUUGGAAACGAUAGCUAAUACCGCAUAACAGUUGAUGUUGCAUGACAUUUACUUGAAAGGUGCAAUUGUAUCACUACCAGAUGGACCUGCGUUGGAUUAGCUAGUUGUUGGGGUAACGGCUCACCAAGGCGACGAUACAUCGCCGACCUGAGAGGGGGGUCGGCCACACUGGGACGGAGACCCGGCCCAGAGUCCUACGGGAGGGGGCCGGAGGGAAACUGCGGGAAUGGGUGGAAAUCUGACCGAGCAACGCCGAGGGAGUGAAGAAGGAUGUCGGGUCGGGAAGCUCUGUUGUAGGGGAAGAAACAGUGUGAGAGUGGAAAGUUCACACUGUGACGGUAACUGACCAGAAAGCGACGGCUAACUACGUG
rnacentral:rRNA from 1 species